rnacentral:lncRNA from 1 species
AUAAAUAGCCCCCCAACACUAUUCACUUCGGGCAGUUCAAAAUUUGAUAUCUUUCGCCGGAGCUUUCUGAUCAUCCGUUUGAGCUCAAAUUUGACAGUCAUGUUCAGUUUUACUUAACGAGUAUAAAGAAAUUUUAAUAUUUUAGUUUCGACCCCGUUUGAUCACCGAAAACUGUACCGAAUUACAAUCUUUAUCAGAUAGCUGUCGGAUUUUAUUUUCCACCUUCCGGGUGUCAGAAUGACAUGAAACUUUAAAUCUAGCCUCACAAAAAUAAUUCUAACUAAUCCUCCGGUUUUUAUAAUUUUCUGACACUGUGCAUUUUCUGCUAAUUUAUCUGUCCCGUUUCCAACAGAAAAUUCUAAAUCUUCUGUUUUCAUUCCGAUUUCAGUACAAGUCACUUCUGACUUAUGUUUUACUUUUCUAAAUCUAAUAAAAAUAGUAUCUCACACUAUUUUUAUUUAUUUUUAUUUUUGUACCAAAAUCUGGUUUGUUACACUAUGCCAC